ACGCUUGUGGUGUAACGGUAGCAUGUACGUCUCCAAAACGUACGGUUGAGGUUCAAAUCCUUACAGGCGUG
rnacentral:tRNA from 1 species